rnacentral:rRNA from 1 species
GGGGAAUUUUCCGCAAUGGGCGAAAGCCUGACGGAGCAAUACCGCGUGAGGGAAGACUGCCUAUGGGUUGUAAACCUCUUUUCUCAGGGAGGAACAAAAUGACGUGUACCUGAAGAAUAAGCAUCGGCUAACUCCGUGCCAGCAGCCGCGGUAAGACGGAGGAUGCAAGUGUUAUCCGGAAUCACUGGGCGUAAAGCGUCUGUAGGUGGUUUAAUAAGUCAACUGUUAAAUCUUGAGGCUCAACUUCAAAAUCGCAGUCGAAACUAUUAGACUAGAGUAUGGUAGAGGUAAAGGGAAUUUCCAGUGGAGCGGUGAAAUGCGUAGAUAUUGGAAAGAACACCGAUGGCGAAAGCACUUUACUGGGCUAUUACUAACACUCAGAGACGAAAGCUAGGGUAGCAAAUGGGAUUAGAUACCCCAGUAGUC